GGAAUUUUGGACAAUGGGCGCAAGCCUGAUCCAGCAAUGCCGCGUGAGUGAAGAAGGCCUUCGGGUUGUAAAGCUCUUUUGUCAGGGAAGAAACGGUGAUCUCUAAUAUAGAUUGCUAAUGACGGUACCUGAAGAAUAAGCACCGGCUAACUACGUGCCAGCAGCCGCGGUAAUACGUAGGGUGCAAGCGUUAAUCGGAAUUACUGGGCGUAAAGCGUGCGCAGGCGGUUUUGUAAGACUGUCGUGAAAUCCCCGGGCUCAACCUGGGAAUGGCGAUGGUGACUGCAAGGCUAGAGUUUGGCAGAGGGGGGUAGAAUUCCACGUGUAGCAGUGAAAUGCGUAGAUAUGUGGAGGAACACCGAUGGCGAAGGCAGCCCCCUGGGUCAAAACUGACGCUCAUGCACGAAAGCGUGGGGAGCAAACAGGAUUAGAUACCCCAG
rnacentral:rRNA from 1 species